AUUAUAAGUGUGUGUUGUUCUUCAUUGGAUGUAAUGUUCUUAAUAAGUGGGAAUCAAAAUGAGCUGUGUGACUAUGGGUGUACCUCAUCCCAAUGCUAAUAAAGAGUCCCCAACGUCAUAAACGGCUAUAAAAGGCGCAUUUGACUCACCAACUCCGAUUUUCUCCUCUUCGGUAGGAAUCCACAUAUUUGGUUAUUUGUGGCACAUUGUGUCGAAGACUGGAGAUGACGCUGGUUUAAAAACUGUGAUGAAGAAGACGAGGGGGAAUAUUGUUCAUACUACAUGUCUCCACUGGAAUCUUGACGUCGGUGUGCGCAGUGAUGGUGGCGGGGGAGGAAGGAGCAUGAAAGAUCACUGCCGUUCUUUUUGAAUAUCGGACAGUAUUAUGAUUAUUUCCCGGCUUGUCUUCAGUCUGAUGCAGUCUCCGUGACCAGUACGCGCACGCGCGCAAGGCGUUCUCCACAAAGGUGUUAUUACAGCCGCAUUUGGAGUCAAGUGCAGGUAGAUUUCAAAAUCCUCUCAUGCGGUGGCCCUUGUAGAAAGAAAGAAAAAAACACUACGUUCUACAAACAAAUGAUCAAAUGAGAAGGAGAAGCAAGUUGGCGUCUAUAGGUCGCAACACGGAGAGGUCCGAGUUGGCGCAAGAGGUAUCGAGAGGAGGCUGCAAUGUAGCUUCCUCCUCCCUUCCUCUCUCCUUCCACUGCGCGCAGGCCACGAUGCACCGCCCCCUCCGCGGCACCCUGGGUGCUACAUGCCAGGCCCAUGUUGAGGUGGUGGGGUGGGUGAUGGUGGUGGGGGGGGGAAGACCUCCCCGUUGAGUCAUUCCAACGUGCCAUCAGUACUAUGCUUUGUCACGCUGCAUACAUCUUUAAUGUGAUUUGGACAUUGGUGGAAAACGCUGUUAGGCAAGGGAAGAAAACUUGAUGUGCCUCACAACAACACGUACUGUACGUUAAUGGACAUAAAUCGAGACCAUGUGCAUUCUACUUUGAUGAUGGAAGGCUCGACUUAUGCUUCACCUCAGUAUAUAUUUUUUCUAGUUAUAUAAAUUGUGAUUUAUUGACCUGACCAAGACAUUGAAUCAUGUUGUCCAAAAGUUUUAUUCCGAUCAAUAUCUGCAAUA